ACAACACAUUUUCGUGGCGCUCAUCACUUCUUAUAGCCAUUUUGCCUCUUCCUUUCACUUCUCUCACCUUUAUCGACCAACAAUGGCGGCUGCUGCCUCACCAUCUCCAUGUUUCUCCAAAACCCUACCUCCAUCUUCCUCCAAAUCUUCCACCAUUCUACCUAGAUCUACCUUCUCUUUCCACAAUCACCCACAAAAAGCCUCACCCCUUCAUCUCAUCCACGCUCAACAUAAUCGUCGUGGUUUUGCCGUUGCCAAUGUCGUCAUAUCCACUACCACCCAUAACGACGUUUCUGAACCUGAAACAUUCGUUUCCCGUUUCGCCCCUGACGAACCCAGAAAGGGUUGUGAUGUUCUUGUGGAGGCACUUGAAAGGGAAGGUGUUACGGAUGUAUUUGCAUACCCAGGAGGUGCUUCUAUGGAGAUUCAUCAAGCUUUGACACGUUCGAAUAUUAUUCGUAAUGUGCUACCACGUCAUGAGCAAGGUGGUGUGUUUGCUGCAGAGGGUUACGCACGGGCUACUGGGUUCCCUGGUGUUUGCAUUGCUACCUCUGGUCCCGGAGCUACAAAUCUUGUUAGUGGUCUUGCGGAUGCUUUGUUAGAUAGUAUUCCGAUUGUUGCUAUUACAGGUCAAGUGCCAAGGAGGAUGAUUGGUACUGAUGCGUUUCAGGAAACUCCUAUUGUUGAGGUAACGAGAUCCAUUACGAAGCAUAAUUAUCUUGUUAUGGAUGUAGAGGAUAUUCCUAGGGUUGUUCGUGAAGCAUUUUUUCUUGCGAAAUCGGGACGGCCUGGCCCAGUUUUGAUUGAUGUACCUAAGGAUAUUCAGCAACAAUUGGUGAUACCUAAUUGGGAUCAGCCAAUGAGGUUGCCUGGUUACAUGUCUAGGUUACCUAAAUUGCCUAAUGAAAUGCUUUUGGAACAAAUUGUUAGGCUGAUUUCCGAGUCGAAGAAGCCUGUUUUGUAUGUGGGUGGUGGGUGUUCGCAAUCAAGUGAGGAGCUGAGACGAUUUGUGGAGCUUACAGGUAUUCCUGUAGCGAGUACUUUGAUGGGUCUUGGAGCUUUUCCAACUGGGGAUGAGCUUUCACUUCAAAUGUUGGGUAUGCAUGGAACUGUGUAUGCUAAUUAUGCUGUGGAUAGUAGUGAUUUGUUGCUUGCAUUUGGG
rnacentral:misc_RNA from 1 species